AUGGGAGUGGUCAUGGGCGUGGUCAUGGGCGUGGUCAUGGGCGUGGUCAUGGGCGUGGCCAUGGGCGUGGUCAUGGGAGUGGCCAUGGGAGUGGUCAUGGGAGUGGUCAUGGGAGUGGUCAUGGGCGUGGCCAUGGGAGUGGUCAUGGGUGUGGUCAUGGGAGUGGUCAUGGGUUUGGUCAUGGGUGUGGUCAUGGACACGACAAAUGAACAAGAAUAAACUAAGGCUGAACGAUUAAUCAAAUUCAAAUCGAAAUCGCGAUGUGAUAGAACGCGUUGGUCACACCAAAGAAUGAUUUAUUUAUUUUUUAGUGAAUAAUACACAACAUAUGGAACCAUUAAAUCGCAAUCGCAAUAUUGGUCAAAAUAAUCGCAUUUGGAUUACUUCCCCAAAUCGUUUAGCCCUAGAAUAAACAUCACCGGACGGCAAUUUAACUUAAAAAUUAAAACUAAACUAAAGCUUUCAGUUGUUCGGGCAUUCUAAAUAUAUCGCCGUGUGCGUGUCUCUGUGUGAGAGCGAGCAAGAGAGCAACAGAGAGAGAACGCUUCAGUAAUAGAAUGUGUCCCUGUAUGACAGUAAUAGGACCCCAGCCUGGACUGAGUGGUUGGUCCCUUGUUCUCCACAUCGCUACGGUUACAGCAUCAUGAGCUGACACAACAAACAAACCAUUUGUUUUCACCUUCCAAAUAAUUAUACAUUCACAACUUGGGUGAGGAGGAAACAUGUUGGAACAACACACUUAGAACCACCUCCUCUUGUGUUUCUCCCUCUCCUGAUGAUGCCUCAUAAAUCAUCUCCAGACGCCAACCAGGAAUGAACCAGCAGACUGAUAGCAUCUGAUGAGCCGUGCCGAUCGCAGCGCUGCCG
ensembl:lncRNA